rnacentral:rRNA from 1 species
GUUAUUGGUUCCUCCCUUCUGAAGAACCACGAUGUCAUUAAUUUGGUGUCGCGGGGAAUCAGGACUGUUACUUUGAAAAAAUUAGAGUGUUUAAAGCAGGCUCGCGCUUGAAUACAUUAGCAUGGAAUAAUGAAAUAGGACGUUUGAUUCUAUUUUGUUGGUUUCUAGGAUCGACGUAAUGAUUAAUAGGGAUAGUUGGGA